CGCGUAGGCGGCCUGUUAAGUCAGGUGUGAAAGCCCCGGGCUCAACCUGGGAAUUGCAUUUGAUACUGGCGAGCUAGAGUCUGAUAGAGGGGGGUGGAAUUCCAGGUGUAGCGGUGAAAUGCGUAGAUAUCUGGAGGAACAUCAGUGGCGAAGGCGGCCCCCUGGAUCGAGACUGACGCUGAGGUGCGAAGGCGUGGGGAGCAAACA
rnacentral:rRNA from 1 species